UACGGGGGGGGCAAGCGCUGUCCGGAAUCACUGGGCGUAAAGGGCGCGUAGGCGGUCUGGUAAGCGUGCGGUGAAAGCCCGGGGCUCAACCCCGGGUCGGCCGUGCGAACUGCUGGACUGGAGCUUGUCAGAGGCAGGCGGAAUUCCGGGUGUAGCGGUGGAAUGCGUAGAGAUCCGGAAGAACACCGGUGGCGAAGGCGGCCUGCUGGGACAGUGCUGACGCUGAAGCGCGACAGCGUGGGGAGCAAACAGG
rnacentral:rRNA from 1 species